rnacentral:rRNA from 1 species
GCUUACGGCCACACCGCCUGGUUCACGCCCUGAUCUCGUUUGAUCUCGGAAGCUAAGGUAGGUUGGGCCUGGUUAGUACUUGGAUGGCAGACCGCCUGGGAAUACCAGGUGCUGUAAGCU